rnacentral:rRNA from 1 species
GAUGAACGCUGGCGGCGUGCCUAAUACAUGCAAGUCGAGCGAACAGACGAGGAGCUUGCUCCUCUGACGUUAGCGGCGGACGGGAGAGUAACACGUGGAUAACCUACCUAUAAGACUGGGAUAACUUCGGGAAACCGGAGCUAAUACCGGAUAAUAUAUUGAACCGCAUGGUUCAAUAGUGAAAGACGGUUUUGCUGUCACUUAUAGAUGGAUCCGCGCCGCAUUAGCUAGUUGGUAAGGUAACGGCUUACCAAGGCGACGAUGCGUAGCCGACCUGAGAGGGUGAUCGGCCACACUGGAACUGAGACACGGUCCAGACUCCUACGGGAGGCAGCAGUAGGGAAUCUUCCGCAAUGGGCGAAAGCCUGACGGAGCAACGCCGCGUGAGUGAUGAAGGUCUUCGGAUCGUAAAACUCUGUUAUUAGGGAAGAACAAAUGUGUAAGUAACUAUGCACGUCUUGACGGUACCUAAUCAGAAAGCCACGGCUAACUACGUG